rnacentral:misc_RNA from 1 species
UGUUUCGGGCAGCGACGGCGCACCUCUCCCACGAGUCAUCAGUUUUGUCCCAAGUGCUGCACGGCCUUGGCCGAGACUCGGUUUCUUGUGUUGGGUACCUUCACUAUGGCACUCGAUUUUUUGUCCCAACGUCCCUCGUUCGUUCGGUGCCAUCCCGUUUCUGGUGGGGCGCAAAACGAAACUGGUAGCUCGGUCCGUUUCCCACGUCGCGUCAGGCUGUCGUGGUGAACGGGCGCUGCUCGAGCUCUCGGAUAUGGAAAGCAAUGAGGGGCACUGACGACGCGUCGUCCUUGCCCGAGCAUGCAUCAGUUAGACCCUAACGAUGACGGUGCACGACUGUCGCUCCCGCCUCGGCCCGGCCGUGCGGGGAGGACGUCGUUGAGGAAUGCUACCUGGUUGAUCCUGCCAGU